rnacentral:rRNA from 1 species
UACGUAGGGACCAAGCGUUGUUCGGAUUUACUGGGCGUAAAGGGCGCGUAGGCGGCAAUUCAAGUCAGCUGUGAAAUCUCCGGGCUUAACUCGGAACGGUCAGCUGAUACUGCUUUGCUAGAGUGCAGAAGGGGCAAUCGGAAUUCUUGGUGUAGCGGUGAAAUGCGUAGAUAUUGCUCGGAAGGCCAACGGCGAAGGCAGGUUACUGGUACGCAACUGACACUGAGGCACGAAAGCGUGGGGAGCGAACGGG